rnacentral:rRNA from 1 species
GACGAACGCUGGCGGCGUGCUUAACACAUGCAAGUCGAACGAUGAAGCCGGAGCUUGCUCUGGUGAAUUAGUGGCGAACGGGUGAGUAACACGUGAGUAACCUGCCCUUGACUCUGGGAUAACUGCUAGAAAUGGUAGCUAAUACCGGAUACGACCCUCGGAGGCAUCUCCAGGGGGUGGAAAGAAUUUCGGUCAAGGAUGGACUCGCGGCCUAUCAGCUAGUUGGUGAGGUAACGGCUCACCAAGGCGACGACGGGUAGCCGGCCUGAGAGGGUGACCGGCCACACUGGGACUGGGACACGGCCCAGACUCCUACGGGAGGCAGCAGUGGGGAAUAUUGCACAAUGGGCGCAAGCCUGAUGCAGCAACGCCGCGUGAGGGAUGACGGCCUUCGGGUUGUAAACCUCUUUUACCCGGGACGAUAAUGACUGUACCGGGAGAAUAAGCCCCGGCUAACUUCGUGCCAGCAGCCGCCGUAA